ensembl:lncRNA
CUUAAACUAUGUUACCGUUUCUCAACUGAUUCCAGUACGGUGAAAUAAAAUGUAAUUUGUCUUUCCAAAUGAUUCAUGGGAAGCAAGAAAUGUACUCUAACAAAUACAGUGAGCCUGAGCAUUGAUUCCUCCAUAUAGGCUAACUUGGACCACAGUGGCGUCGUAACGGACAAACGUACUGAAUGUGACAAACUGCGUUCAAAACACUAACGCACAAUGUGCACCAGUAAUCUAAAAUGAGAUUAUCGCUCAGGCAACACAACUGAGUUUUAUUUAAUGCACUGAUAAAUGUAAUAUCAGUGAUGUAUACAUUAGACACCACGGGUCGGGUCUUCAACGAUAUAAAAGCUUGAUGUUUUUGUUGAGAGGUCUAUUGCAAUUUCAAAUUUGCAACUGUGUGUGUGUGUCUGUGUGUGUGCGCGCGCGCGAGGGGGAGAUCUAGAGAGAGAGAGGGGGAGAGAUUUAACUCAUUAUAAUGCAUAGCGACCUGCCCUCUUUUGAAAAAAAAGAGAAAAACGCAGCCAUGCUUUGCAGGGGCUCCAGCCCCUACUCACUGCAAGAUAGGGCAAGUUGCUUAGCGGAGGCAUCCAACUACACAUCGACAGAGAAACCCGGGAAUACAAUUAAGUAUCUUUAAAUCGCGAAAAGCGCAAUAUAAUACGAAGACAGCUACGCGAAAAUGAAUGGAUAUGAAUGCAUGGAAAACCAACGACCGCCUGCUAAGGAAGUGGAGCGAGCGAACGCGUGGUUGAGUACGUACGGACGUGGUUGAAGCCCCUGACGCAUUUUUGACAGAGCUGAGGUCCUUUCAAGCAGUUGUCCCCUUGUCCCUCUUUGUCUCAGACUGGCUGAAUUUGAAACCAGCUCCAAAAAAUAACGAAGGCCUUAUCCCUUUGCUGUCAACGUUGCAUGUCCAUAUUUCAUCAUACGGCGGUUAAGUAAUCCUUUUGAGCAUUCGCUUCGCUUUAUUGCAGAUCCGUGCUGUGCUUAAACACUUAACAGGAUGGUUUCAAUAGCACAGGACAUCGCCGAGAUGGGUUUUGAAAAACAAUCAUUUAAUAGGAAAUACGCCGUAGUAGAGUCAUACGCGCCGGGACACUAAAACCAGAGGCUGGGGAAUGACUGGAUAAACGAAGGAUUUAAUGAUAAUACAGAUGCUUUUGGUUGCUUACAACGAUGGAGAGGGUUUGUGGUAUGUUUUAGACAGGCUCUGCGUGAUUUGAGACUCUGGCUCUCCGUGUUCACAGCGGACCUUGAUUUAAUGUCUUACAAUUAAGGCACGCGGUGAAUGCCAAGAGCGGAGCCUUCCACCAUCAGCAGGCCAAAAAAUACUGCAGGGUUGAAAAAUUCUUCCUGAUAAUUUGAUUAAAUUGUUUUUCCCCCUAAUAAAGCUAGUUCCGAUAGUUCUGGUCUGUGUUUUGGAUAUUGUGCUAAGCAAUUGUGAAAGUAUAUGUGUACUGCAAUCUGGAAAACCAUAAAAAGGAAACAAUGCGAUACACUGCAGAGGUCUUGAAGGUGAAGCGCUGUCCACCACAUGUGGUGCUGAAUUUCUCUUUGUAGAUCUCUUACUGCAUCACGGGGAACAGGUUAAGUAAAUAACCGAAAACUAACCAUUUGCACACGUGCAAGCGAGUGUGUUUGAGCGGCAAAUGAAAGCUGGUAUUUCUAAAAUCAUAAAACACAGCAUGAAGGAAAUACAUUGUAUUUUAGCAACAAUUAGAGAUCACAAUAUUGUUGUUUUCUGUAUCUGAAACGAUAUAAAACAAACCUAUAAGUCAGCCAAACAUGCACUCACCCAACUGUUUACGUUGUUCUGUAUUUUACACCACAAAUUAUAUAGAAAACCCUGGAUGGAUACACACCGUCGCCUGAGAAUCAUAGAGAGACUGACAUUAAUGGCAAAAUUUCAACAAAUGUAUCUGCUCUGUUGAAAG